rnacentral:rRNA from 1 species
GUGCAGUGGCGCGUCUACCAUGCAGUCGAGCGGUAAGGCCUUUCGGGGUACACGAGCGGCGAACGGGUGAGUAACACGUGGGUGAUCUGCCCUGCACUUCGGGAUAAGCCUGGGAAACUGGGUCUAAUACCGGAUAUGACCUCCUAUCGCAUGGUGGGUGGUGGAAAGAUUUAUCGGUGCAGGAUGGGCCCGCGGCCUAUCAGCUUGUUGGUGGGGUAAUGGCCUACCAAGGCGACGACGGGUAGCCGACCUGAGAGGGUGACCGGCCACACUGGGACUGAGACACGGCCCAGACUCCUACGGGAGGCAGCAGUGGGGAAUAUUGCACAAUGGGCGAAAGCCUGAUGCAGCGACGCCGCGUGAGGGAUGACGGCCUUCGGGUUGUAAACCUCUUUCAGCAGGGACGAAGCGCAAGUGACGGUACCUGCAGAAGAAGCACCGGCUAACUACGUGCCAGCAGCCGCGGUAAUACGUAGGGUGCAAGCGUUGUCCGGAAUUACUGGGCGUAAAGAGUUCGUAGGCGGUUUGUCGCGUCGUUUGUGAAAACCAGCAGCUCAACUGCUGGCUUGCAGGCGAUACGGGCAGACUUGAGUACUGCAGGGGAGACUGGAAUUCCUGGUGUAGCGGUGAAAUGCGCAGAUAUCAGGAGGAACACCGGUGGCGAAGGCGGGUCUCUGGGCAGUAACUGACGCUGAGGAACGAAAGCGUGGGUAGCGAACAGGAUUAGAUACCCUGGUAGUCCACGCCGUAAACGGUGGGCGCUAGGUGUGGGUUCCUUCCACGGAAUCCGUGCCGUAGCUAACGCAUUAAGCGCCCCGCCUGGGGAGUACGGCCGCAAGGCUAAAACUCAAAGGAAUUGACGGGGGCCCGCACAAGCGGCGGAGCAUGUGGAUUAAUUCGAUGCAACGCGAAGAACCUUACCUGGGUUUGACAUAUACCGGAAAGCUGCAGAGAUGUGGCCCCCCUUGUGGUCGGUAUACAGGUGGUGCAUGGGCUGUCGUCAGCUCGUGUCGUGAGAUGUUGGGUUUAAGUCCCGCAACGAGCGCAACCCCUAUCUUAUGUUGC